UCCUAUUUUCUAGGGUUAGAUCAAACAUACUUCCUUCUCUCUCUCAUUCAGUCGUUUCUUCUUUCACUCUCACCAUUAACACACAAAAUUUGAACCCUAAUCUAAUGGCGUUUUCGCCGCCGCUGCUACCUCCACCACCGUAAAUCUUCUCUUAGAAAUAUGGGCUGGAAAAAUUGUGGUUCAAUUGAAUGGUAGAUUGAAUAAGUGCGGUGUUAUAAGUCCUCGUUUCGAUAUCCGCGUCAAAGGGGUUGAAGGAUGGACUGCAAGGCUGCUUCCCUCAAGACAGUUUGGAUAUAUUGUCUGGACAACCUCUGCUGGUAUCAUGGAUCAUGAAGAGGCAAGGAGAAAGAAUGCUGGUGGUAAAGUGUUGGGUUUUUUCUACUAGGCUAUGAAGAUGGCACCCUAUUUCAGAUUUUGAUGAGCUCAUAAGUUUUUGAGUGUUAGAGAUUUUUUCUUCUUUUGCAUGGUUAUAUAUUAUAAUCUGGCUUUUACUUAGGACCUUA